rnacentral:rRNA from 1 species
CAUGCAAGUCGAGCGAAUGGAUUAAGAGCUUGCUCUUAUGAAGUUAGCGGCGGACGGGUGAGUAACACGUGGGUAACCUGCCCAUAAGACUGGGAUAACUCCGGGAAACCGGGGCUAAUACCGGAUAACAUUUUGAACCGCAUGGUUCGAAAUUGAAAGGCGGCUUCGGCUGUCACUUAUGGAUGGACCCGCGUCGCAUUAGCUAGUUGGUGAGGUAACGGCUCACCAAGGCAACGAUGCGUAGCCGACCUGAGAGGGUGAUCGGCCACACUGGGACUGAGACACGGCCCAGACUCCUACGGGAGGCAGCAGUAGGGAAUCUUCCGCAAUGGACGAAAGUCUGACGGAGCAACGCCGCGUGAGUGAUGAAGGCUUUCGGGUCGUAAAACUCUGUUGUUAGGGAAGAACAAGUGCUAGUUGAAUAAGCUGGCACCUUGACGGUACCUAACCAGAAAGCCACGGCUAA